rnacentral:rRNA from 1 species
AUUGAACGCUGGCGGCAGGCCUAACACAUGCAAGUCGAGCGGAUGAAGGGAGCUUGCUCCUGGAUUCAGCGGCGGACGGGUGAGUAAUGCCUAGGAAUCUGCCUGGUAGUGGGGGAUAACGUCCGGAAACGGGCGCUAAUACCGCAUACGUCCUGAGGGAGAAAGUGGGGGAUCUUCGGACCUCACGCUCUCAGAUGAGCCUAGGUCGGAUUAGCUAGUUGGUGGGGUAAAGGCCUACCAAGGCGACGAUCCGUAACUGGUCUGAGAGGAUGAUCAGUCACCUGGGAACUGAGACACGGUCCGGACUCCUACGGGAGGCAGCAGUGGGGAAUAUUGGACAAUGGGCGAAAGCCUGAUCCAGCCAUGCCGCGUGUGUGAAGAAGGUCUUCGGAUUGUAAAGCACUUUAAGUUGGGAGGAAGGGCAGUAAGUUAAUACCUUGCUGUUUUGACGUUACCAACAGAAGAAGCACCGGCUAACUUCGUG